GAUGAACGCUGGCGGUCUGCUUAACACAUGCAAGUCGAACGGACCCUUCGGGGUUAGUGGCGGACGGGUGAGUAACGCGUGAGAAUCUGCCUUCAGGUCUGGGACAACAGAAGGAAACUUCUGCUAAUCCGGGAUGAGCCUUUUGGUAAAAGAGAAAUUGCCUGGAGAUGAGCUCGCGUCUGAUUAGCUAGUUGGUGAGGUAAAAGCUUACCAAGGCGACGAUCAGUAGCUGGUCUGAGAGGAUGAGCAGCCACACUGGGACUGAGACACGGCCCAGACUCCUACGGGAGGCAGCAGUGGGGAAUUUUCCGCAAUGGGCGAAAGCCUGACGGAGCAAGACCGCGU
rnacentral:rRNA from 1 species